UACGUAGGGGGCAAGCGUUGUCCGGAAUCAUUGGGCGUAAAGGGCUCGUAGGCGGUCCAUCGCGUCGGGUGUGAAAAGCUGGGGCUUAACCCCAGUCCUGCUUCCGAUACGGGUGGACUAGAGGUAGGUAGGGGAGAUCGGAAUUCCUGGUGUAGCGGUGAAAUGCGCAGAUAUCAGGAGGAACACCGGUGGCGAAGGCGGAUCUCUGGGCCUUACCUGACGCUGAGGAGCGAAAGCAUGGGGAGCAAACAGG
rnacentral:rRNA from 1 species